GACUGAGUGGCGGACGGGUGAGCAACGCGUGGGUAACUGCCCUGUACAGGGGGAUAACAGCUGGAAACGGCUGCUAAUACCGCAUAAGCGCACGAGGAGACAUCUCCUUGUGUGAAAAACUCCGGUGGUACAGGAUGGGCCCGCGUCUGAUUAGCUGGUUGGCAGGGUAACGGCCUACCAAGGCAAACGAUCAGUAGCCGGUCUGAGAGGAUGAAACGGCCACAUUGGAACUGAGACACGGUCCAAACUCCUACGGGGAGGCAGCAGUGGGGAAUAUUGCACAAUGGGGGGAAACCCUGAUGCAGCAACGCCGCGUGAGUGAAGAAGUAUUUCGGUAUGUAAAGCUCUAUCAGCAGGGAAGAUAAUGACGGUACCUGACUAAGAAGCUCCGGCUAAAUACGUGCCAGCAGCCGCGGUAAUACGUAUGGAGCAAGCGUUAUCCGGAUUUACUGGGUGUAAAGGGUGCGUAGGUGGCAGUGCAAGUCAGAUGUGAAAGGCCGGGGCUCAACCCCGGAGCUGCAUUUGAAACUGCAUAGCUAGAGUACAGGAGAGGCAGGCGGAAUUCCUAGUGUAGCGGUGAAAUGCGUAGAUAUUAGGAGGAACACCAGUGGCGAAGGCGGCCUGCUGGACUGUUACUGACACUG
rnacentral:rRNA from 1 species